CUCACAUAAGAACCCACUUGUCUGGGAUGAGCCUAUUUUCCCAUCUCCAGAAGGUGAUGUGCUGGUGAGACUCCUGGGAUAAUGCUCCUAAUGCACAGAGCUACCACAUCUAGUCUGCUAACAAACUGGCUGGAAGCUGCUAUGUUUCUAACUAUUCCCUCUGCAAUUCCUCUUUGAACUCUGCCAUUGUUGUGCUGGAGCUCUUCUUUCCUCUUUUGGAACAAGCCUCUUAGGGCUUUGUAUUUUGCAUUGAAUACUAUCCCCAGACACUUCUGGUGAAGGUGGCUGCAGAGGUGGAUAAUACCAGCAUUGUGUGUGUGUUCCAGGCAAACUCAUUGGAGAGCCUGGUGGAGACCCUAGAGCCAGCCUUCCUAGAUGACUACCCCUCUUCUAUGUCCACCAUCUCAAGUUCCUCCACCCAACAGAAGCUGGACCUAAUAUUGGCAAGGGUGAUCUCCUCACUUCUUGAUGUGCACUCACUUCAAAAUAGACCUGGUAAUAUUCACAGCCAAGUCAAUGUGACAGGCUCCCAAAUGGAGGAUGAAGGCCACCAGGUCCCGGCCUUGAUAGAAAACCCAGAGCCCAUGGAGGAAGAGGUUGGAGGUGAAGAGGUCUGGGGUGGGGAGUGUGAGCAUGUGGGGAUGGGAUAAGGCUGGACAUGAAGAGCAGAUCUUCCAGAAACAGGGGCAGGUCAGAAACAGAAGCAGAGCUGUCACUGUCUGCAUGUCUUCUGGGAACACUCCCAAUGGGUGGGUUUGUGUGUGAAGCUCUGUGAAAGGCAGUGGGAAGUAUUGUCCCUGGAAGGAAAAGGGAUAGUUGGUGACCUUUACUCCUCUUGCAGCUACAGGGCCACCUCUGGUGCUUGUGGAGACUCCUGCUCAAGUUCCACCACCUCCACCACCUGAGAGAGAGCUGGAACCAGAAAUACCUGCAAUGGCACCUCCAGCCCAGCAGCUCCUGGUGGACCCUCUCCAGCAACACCCACUGAGCUCCUACCCCAGAGCUGCCCCUUCCCUCCCUUGUCAUUUUUUUUCUUUCUUUUUAUUUUAUAUAUUUAUAAUUUUGUUAAAACUACCUUCUUUUAAAAUUGAAUAUUUUAUUCAUUUUUAAAAGAUCCAGUUUAUUGGCAUUAAGUACAUUCUCAAAACUCUGCACUUAUCAUCAUUAUGUAGUUCCAGAACAUUUUCCUGAAUCUGGUACCCAUAAAACUCCCUCUCCCCACUCCCCCUAGUCCCCAGCAACCCUUUAUCAUUCUAGCCCUGUGAUAAUCCUUGUCUGCAUUUUUCAAAUCAGUGCAGUCUCAUUGCUCUCUGGCUACAUAAUGUUGAAACGGACUGAUGCAGUUUCCUUAGUAGGGUAAAUGCUACAUGGGUCUAACUUGAUUAUUUUUUAUUUCUGUUGUUUUAGUACGGGAUGUUGAAUCCAGGGGCACUUUACCACUGAGCUACAUUCCCGGUCCUUUUUCUUUUGACUUUUGAGACAGGUUCUUGGUCAGUUGCUUAGGAUCUCCCUGAGUUGCUAGGGCUACCCUCAAACCUAUGAUCAUCUUGAUCAAUACAGUAUUAUUUGAAAAUAAAAAAUCCUCUAUAUUCA
rnacentral:lncRNA from 1 species